GUCAAUAGACAGAUCAUGCUGAACAUGCACUAUCUUGUCUGAUCUUGGAAGCAAAGCAGGGUUGGGCCCGGUUAGUAUUUGGAUGGGAGACAGCGAAUGGAAACCACAAAAUUAUUUAAA
rnacentral:rRNA from 1 species